GAUGAACGCUGGCGGCGUGCCUAAUACAUGCGAGUCGAGCGAACAGAUAAGGAGCUUGCUCCUUUGACGUUAGCGGCGGACGGGUGAGUAACACGUGGGUAACCUACCUAUAAGACUGGAAUAACUCCGGGAAACCGGGGCUAAUGCCGGAUAACAUUUAGAACCGCAUGGUUCUAAAGUGAAAGAUGGUUUUGCUAUCACUUAUAGAUGGACCCGCGCCGUAUUAGCUAGUUGGUAAGGUAACGGCUUACCAAGGCAACGAUACGUAGCCGACCUGAGAGGGUGAUCGGCCACACUGGAACUGAGACACGGUCCAGACUCCUACGGGAGGCAGCAGUAGGGAAUCUUCCGCAAUGGGCGAAAGCCUGACGGAGCAACGCCGCGUGAGUGAUGAAGGUCUUCGGAUCGGAAAACUCUGUUAUUAGGGAAGAACAAAUGUGUAAGUAACUGUGCACGUCUUGACGGUACCUAAUCAGAAAGCCACGGCUAACUACGUG
rnacentral:rRNA from 1 species